rnacentral:rRNA from 1 species
UCCCUACGGGGCGCAGCAGGCGCGAAAACUUUACACUGCGCGAAAGCGCGAUAAGGGGACCUCGAGUGCGUGCGCAACGCGUACGCUUUUCAGAUGCCUAAAAAGCAUGUGGAAUAAGAGCCGGGCAAGACCGGUGCCAGCCGCCGCGGUAACACCGGCGGCUCAAGUGGUGGCCGCUAUUAUUGGGCUUAAAGGGUCCGUAGCCGGACCAGUUAGUCCCUUGGGAAAUCUUACGGCUUAACCGUAAGGCUGCCAAU